rnacentral:sRNA from 1 species
UGGAAAGGUGGGACCCCACUAGGUUGU